ensembl:lncRNA novel transcript
AGCGAGACUCCAUCUCAAAAAAAAAAAAAAAAAAAAAGAAAAGAAAAGAAACUGGCGGACAAAGGAAGAGAUCCUCCUUCAGGCAGGGUAGGGAAGAAGGGCACUCGGUGACCAGAGACCUUUUCCAGGACCAUGUCUUUGAAGCAAAUCUCAGCUCUUGUCUUCCGGAAGCGAUGGAGACAGAAUCCAGAAGCCUGAGACUCUCUCCUUUCCUGGCUUUGAUGAAGCAAGCUGCCACACUGGAGAGGCCUACAUGAUAAGGACCUGAAGGUGGCCUCCAGCUAGCUCCAGCCAACAGUUGGCAAGGAAUUGAGGACCUGAGUCCAAUAGACCUUGAGGAACUGAAUCCUGCAACAGCUACACAAGCUUUUGUGAUGCCCUAUAAUUACAUGAACUCUACUAAAAAGAGGGAUACUGGAAAGAAGAAUAAUGUUGAGACACCUUUGCAGAAGAAAAAACAACUUCCUCUCUUCCUCUACUUCACUCUGGCAAGUUCUCCAACCUGACAAGCCAGUAGGGAGUGCCGGAAUGUCAUGGCUGAGAAAAGAGAUGUUAACAGGCUGUAUG